rnacentral:rRNA from 1 species
GCAAGUCGAGGGGUAACAGGGAGUGCUUGCACUCUGCUGACGACCGGCGCACGGGUGCGUAACGCGUAUGCAACCUACCUUUUACAGGGGGAUAGUCAAGAGAAAUUUUGAAUAAUACCCCAUACGAUCCUGAUAUCACCUGAUAUUUGGAAGAAAACUUCGGUGGUAAAAGAUGGGCAUGCGUCCUAUUAGUUAGUUGGUGAGGUAACGGCUCACCAAGACAGCGAUAGGUAGGGGUCCUGAGAGGGAGAUCCCCCACACUGGUACUGAGACACGGACCAGACUCCUACGGGAGGCAGCAGUGAGGAAUAUUGGACAAUGGAGGCAACUCUGAUCCAGCCAUGCCGCGUGCAGGAAGACUGCCCUAUGGGUUGUAAACUGCUUUUAUACAGGAAGAAACCUACUUACGUGUAAGUAGCUGACGGUACUGUACGAAUAAGGAUCGGCUAACUCCGUGCCAGCAGCCGCGGUAAUACGGAGGAUCCAAGCGUUAUCCGGAAUUAUUGGGUUUAAAGGGUCCGUAGGUGGUUUGCUAAGUCAGAGGUGAAAUCCUACCGCUUAACGGUAGCACUGCCUUUGAUACUGGCAAACUUGAGUUAUUGUGAAGUAGUUAGAAUGUGUAGUGUAGCGGUGAAAUGCAUAGAUAUUACACAGAAUACCGAUUGCGAAGGCAGAUUACUAACAAUAUACUGACACUGAGGGACGAAAGCGUGGGUAGCGAACAGGAUUAGAUACCCUGGUAGUCCACGCCGUAAACGAUGGUCACUAGCUGUUUGACUAACAUUGGUUAGUUGAGUG